ACAGGUAUCAAACCCUUUUGACCCCAAGUAGUGUUUGUUUCAAAUUUUCUUCUUCAAAACCUCACCUAGAUGUCAGCAAACUGUUGCUCCAGUUCAGGUCAUGCCCUGUCUCUCACCUGCAAAAACCUUUUAAAACUGUCUGCUUGGAAGAGCUCUUGAGGAGAGGAUAGAUUUGCACUGGUGCAAGAACUUCAACACUUUUGUUAUGCACUACAGAGAGGAGAAGAUUAAGACAGUCCUUAGUUUGAUUUCUUGCUACCUGGGAAAACUUGAACAGAAGAAGAUGUGUCGGUGAUCCCCUGAAAAUGUGGAUAGGGUUGACUUGUCCUUCAGCAGGAGAUCAAGCCUUUUGGCAUAGAGGAACCACAUCGGGGGAGAGGUGCAACACACUCAUUUAAUAUGAACCUCCAUGCAGGUGCAAGUACUGUCGAUAAAUGUUGGUUGCACUUUUUAUUUGUAAUAAAACUGAU